rnacentral:rRNA from 1 species
CUAACAAGUCAAACCUUACAAAAAGAAUUUAGCAAGACCCCCCGAAACUAGACGAGCUACCCUAAGGCAGUAUACGAACGAACCCUCCUCUGUAGCAAAAGAGCGGGAAGACCUUAAGGUAGAGGCAAUAAACCUAACGCGCCUAGAUAUAGCUGGUUGCUUGAGAAAGAAUUUAAGUUCACAUAAAAGCAGCAAUACCAACAAGGAAAAAACUACCUUUUACUUUAAUCAAUUGAGUUACAGCUCAAUUAAUAAGGGAAACAACCCAAAUAAAUGAAUAAUGAUUAUAAAACACAAGAAAUUAUAAGCCUAGUAGGCCUAAAAGCAGCCAUCAAAAUAGCGUUAAAGCUUAACUCAAACAAUAUCACCCAUCCCAAUAAAUAAUCUUAAUUCAAUAAAACAAUCAAGCUAAUCUAUUAAUAGAUAAACUACUGCUAGAAUAAGUAAUAAGGAUUGUACCCUCUACAUACAAACGUAAAUCAGAACGAACAACCACUGAUAAUUAAUGAAUAUAUUAACAAGACCAAGAAUCAAUAAUAAAAAUCAUUAACCCAACACAGGAGUAUUAAAGAAAGACUUAAAGCUUAGAAAGGAACUCGGCAAACCCAGGCUU